rnacentral:rRNA from 1 species
UACGUAGGUGGCAAGCGUUGUCCGGAUUUAUUGGGUUUAAAGGGUGCGUAGGCGGUCUUUUAAGUCAGUGGUGAAAUACGGCAGCUCAACUGUCGAGGUGCCAUUGAUACUGGAAGACUUGAGUACUGAUGAGGUAGGCGGAAUGGACGGUGUAGCGGUGAAAUGCUUAGAUAUCGUCCAGAACACCGAUAGCGAAGGCAGCUUACUAAGGAGUAACUGACGCUGAGGCACGAAAAGUGUGGGGAUCAAACAGG